UGAGGAAUAUUGGUCAAUGGGCGGAAGCCUGAAACAGCCAUCCCGCGUGCAGGAAGACAGACCUAUGGGUUGUAAACUGCUUUUCCAGUGGGCGAAACACUCGUACGUGUACGAGAUUGACGGUACACUGGGAAUAAGCAUCGGCUAACUCCGUGCCAGCAGCCGCGGUAAUACGGAGGAUGCAAGCGUUAUCCGGAUUUAUUGGGUUUAAAGGGUGCGUAGGCGGAUGAAUAAGUCAGUGGUGAAAGGCUGCAGCUUAACCGUAGACUUGCCGUUGAUACUGUUUAUCUUGAGUAUGGUCAAGGCAGGCGGAAUGUGUAAUGUAGCGGUGAAAUGCUUAGAUAUUACACAGAACACCGAUUGCGAAGGCAGCUUGCUGGGCCAUUACUGACGCUGAUGCACGAAAGCGUGGGGAGCGAACAG
rnacentral:rRNA from 1 species